rnacentral:lncRNA from 1 species
CUGGGCACGAGCCACAGACCCUCGCCCUCCUCCUCCGGGAGCAGAAUCUGGCCUCACGCUCCUGGCCUCCCCUGGCAAACUCCCCCCUCCCCCCCCUGUCUCCAUGUGGACCCAGGCCCCCGAGGCCUAAGCCCCAGGGCAAGGUUUAGCAAGGAUGCUCCCCUGUAUCCGGAUGGGUCACACCACUGUCCCAUGAUGCUUCCAAUCCCAGCCCUGCCCCUUAGGAGCCGCACGUGAUUCGAUGCUGCGGGCUCUUUCUGAGGCUCUCUGUUCCUCCCUCCCCACCCCCACCACACGAUCUCUACCCACCCUGGCCACGUCAAAAAUCACCAUUUUAAAUAAGUAUCGAAGCCCCUCAAGGAAUCGCCUCCAAGAUGCCCGGCCACUCCCGAUGGGCCCCACCCUGAGGAGGAGCCCCGGCUCCCCCUUCCCUGCAGCCUGGGGCUGAAAUAUGUAUUCUCUCAUUCCCCGAGUCCCCAAGGAGGGGUCGGGGGCAUCUUGAGGCAGGGGACACCUCUCCUCCCCUUCAGCCGCCUUUGGUGGCCCCAGCUCUACCAGCCCCAAGUCUCUGCCUGAAACAAGGGUCCAUUUCAUUUAAAAAAAUGAAAUCCUUCCAGGGACAUUGGCUGCAAAUCAAGCAAUCCCAGGACUUCUGAAGAAUUCACCUUUGAGAUCACCCAAGGGCAUCAUCAGAGAGGGGGGACAGCGGGCAUGAGUCAGGCAGACCUCAUGAGAGAAGAGAAAAGGUGCCAGGUCAGGAGAGGGCCGGGUGAAGAUCCAAGAGAACGGGCCAGGCCUGGAGCAAGAGGCAGGGACAGCCGCCAGGAACUAGCUGCCCACGGGGCAGGCACAGCCGCCAGGUCCGAGCUGCCCAAGGUGGACACUCCCCUGGUAUUCCCACUAUGCCACAAGGUCCAGAGGGAGCCCAGCUCCGAGCCUCGCUGUUUCCAGGACUGUGCCUAUCCAGCUGCUUUUGCCGGAUUCCCCGAACACAGCAGGGAACAGAUGGUGGAUGACUUGUUUAGAGGAGGAGCCCAGACACGAGUCAGGAUGAGGAAAAUGAACCUUCCAUCCGCCUACAAUGCCAAGAGCAGGUGCCCAAGGGCCCUCCCUUUGUUCUGAGGCACCCCAGCAACUGGGGAGACCUGGCUCUUGGCUGGCAUGUACUGGGACACUGAUAACAUCCCUACUGGCGCUUCUAUGCCGGCCCUCCUGCCCCUGCCCCUCACUGAUAAGCAACCUCUUGAGAGCGUAAUUUUGGAAGGUGCUGUCGAAGGCAGCAGUGAGAUGACCCACCACAGAUCAAGGAAUGCACGGCCCUUACCUUCCUUGACAACUAAGUAUGCUCCAAAAAUAGCCCGAUCUAUUCUUAGAAGGCUCUCCGCUCUGACACAGGGGCCACCACCCAUUAUGAGAGCCUACAGUCAACUCCUCAUCUCUCUUGCCCAGAAUUCUCUCUGCCCCUUUCCGAAGCACCAGGAGAGAUGAAAAUGACUCCUGCCCAACCUAAUUUCUGACUGCUAUAUGAGACAUCUCUGAUUUCAGUAACCCAGAAUCUCAGCGGCUCACAUCAGCUGGAAAGGACUUCACAGCAUCUGGUCCAAUCAUCCUGAAGCAUUGCUCUCGUCUACAAGAACCCGACCCCCAAAAGUGUUGCAUCCAACAUCGGCUUGGAGAUCUCUAAUGAGGUGGAAUCCACCACCUACUGAGGCAGUCCACAUCACCUUGGGAUACUGUUAUAACCUCUAUGUUCAUCCCCACUCUCAUUUCUUUCAGAAAUCUCCAAUUGGCUGGUCAGUAUAAUUUGGACUCCAGCUGUCUAUAACCGAAUUUAUUAUCAUUCCCUACCAAAUCCUCCCAUUUUCCCAACUUCCCUAUCUCUACUAAGGGCAACAUCAUCCUCUCAAGCCCUUGGAUUCACAAUCUGGAAGCAUCCGGGACUCCUCAUUAUCUCUCACUCCCUAGAUCCAAUAAGGUGCCAAGGCCUGUCCAUUUCACCUCUGCAACAUUUCUGUUUCACCUCUGCAGCAUCUUUCUAAACAUUUCACUUCUAUAGCAUGUCUGGUCAAUUUCACCCCUGCAGUAUCUCUAUCUUUUUCAUCUCUGCAGCAUCUCUGUUCAUUUCACUUCACCUCCUUGUCCAUUUCACCUCUGCAGCAUCUCCUUGUCCAUUUCACCUCUGCAGCAUUUCUCUAAACAUUUCACCUCUAUCGUAUCUCUGGUCAAUUUCAUUCUGCAACAUUUCUCUAUCCAUUUCACCUCUGCAACAUCUUUCUGUCCAUUUCAACUCUUGAUCAUCUCCUUCUCUAUUUCACCUCUGCAACAUCUUUCUGUCCAUUUCACCUCUGCAGCAUCUCUCCAGUCCUCCCCCCCUUCUCUCCUCUGACAUAAUUCCCAUCCUGAUAUAGACCCUCAUCAUCUCAUGCCCAGACUAUUGCUACAGAUACUGGAGGGUCUGUUAGCCACAAGUCUCUUCCCACUCCAGCCCGUCCUCCACUCAGCCUCCAAAGUACUCUUUCCAAAGUUCAGAUCCCACCACAUCAACCUUUAUUCAAUAAACUUCAGCAUUUCCCCAUCACUGACAGGAUCAAAUACAAAAUGUUUAGCCUUCAAAGCCCUCCAUCACCAGCUCCCUCCUUCCUUAUUCCCCUCCACAUCCUCUUGGAUGCAGUGUCC